rnacentral:lncRNA from 1 species
UGGGUGACAUAAUGAGACUCUGUCAAAAAAAAAAAAAAAUCUUUCACCAUGUAUCUCCUUAGCAUGACAUUUGGCAUAAGAUAUGCACUCAUCUUAUUUGGUGAAUUUAAUAAUUGUAUAAUUCAAGUGACUUGUUUAAAGACAUGGUAAAUAUACUUUAAAACAGCUGUUUUCAAUGUGGGGGUCCACAGACUUCCAAUGGUUCCAGACUUGGAUGGGAAAAAUGACAUCUCAAUUUUCAUUAACUGCUAAGUGAAUUUUAACAUUUCCUUCAAUUGGCACUAUGUCAUUAGUGAAAAUCACAGAUAUUGCUAUUUAACAAUACAAUUGUUAUCUCAACAUACUUUCUGUUUAUCACAUCAUUACAUUGAAAUUAUGAUAGUUAACAGACCCACACAAGAACAUGCUAUUUAGUGCAUUAACAAAGCUCAUUUUGCUGCAUCACAAUUUUUAGAUUUAUCGAAGCAGUAUUUCAACAUAAAUGUGCCCUCUAUAAUUUUAAGUAUUAGAUUUUUGAUAUUUUUAAAGAUUAUUUUGAGAAAGAAUCCAUAGUCUUCUUCAGGCUGCCAAAGAGGUCCAUGGCAUGUGGACAGGCGCACACACAAAAUGUUACAUUUUCAUGCCAAGGCUGAGUUCAAGGCACAUUUCCCCCCAACAUCAGAAAGAGAGAAGAAGAGAUACAGAGAGAGGGCCAGAGAGUGCUGCAAUAUAUACGCAAUAUUCUACAGUGCCAUGGCAUAAAGUGAAAAUAGAUUCCGAACACACUAAACCCAUAAACAAGUUCCUCUUUCACUCUUUGUGUAAUUUCCUGACCGAGACCGCCAGACCUCCCACCCCUUCUCACCCCACCUCACACCCCUGCAAAGCUUUCUCAGUGAACUCCUUCUAUUUCUGAAGGUCCAGCUAAAACCAUACUGCAGGAUACUGUGUUUGUGUCCACAUCUAUUCCCCACCCUUCUCCACCCUCUUCUCCUUCCCAAGAGAGUCACCCGCAUGAGCAAUACCUGUGAGGGGUCAAGCCCUCUGACUUCCAGUUGUGUCCAGCCAACAAAGAGCUUUGGUAGCAGGUCUGAGGAGGGAGAAUAUUGACCAUGUCUUCCCUCUCUUCACACUGAACCUGCAGCUGGUACUAACCCCAGCUCUGGGAUUAUGCAUUAUGCCUUAUGGUUUUUUUAUUCCCUGGCUACCCUUUGUAAAUGGUCCUUUAUUCGACCGACCUCACAUUAUCUUGCUUUGAGUGUACUAUCUAUUUCCUGUUGGUAUCUGGACUGAUCCAGCCAUUAAGUGAAUUCAGCCUUUCCAUCUUCCCAUCUCAAAGUCAUAAUCAAAGGCAGCCAACUAACUUUUCAAACCAUGUUUAAAUAAGGCAAACGCUGAGCUGUUGCCAAUCUGGCUGUUUCGGUGCCUCGCGUCCGUUUUCUAUACAUCACUUUCCUUUUUCUGUCCAUAAAUCUUCUACCACGUGGCUACACUGGAGCCUCUCUGAACCUAUCCUGGGUGGAGGCUGCCCAAUUCAUGAAUAGUUCUUGGCUCAAUUAAACUGUUAAAUUUAAAAAGAAAAAGGUAGUCAUAGGACCUCUUCUAUUGUAUCUUUCUUUGCUGGUCUGUGUUCUUCACUAGCUCCUUAAGUACCAGAGUAAUAAUUGUAUAAUAUCUGAACUCCCCAUACAUGGCAAAGACCUCAUAUAUAAAAGGCGUUUAAUAAAAAUUUAUUGAAUAAAUGUAUAAACCAAUGGUAGAAAUUAUAAGAGUAAUUCUCAGCAUAAAUAAAUGCUUUUAUUAGUGACACUGGCCUGUCUCAUCCCACUAUUGCUACCAGUAAAUACUUUUAGCUUUAGUUUGAUCCAAGAAUUGGAAAAAAAUUUUACAAACUUUAUCAUUUCUGAAUAACAACGUAUUUUCAAAACAGUUUUAUAACGCAACACAUAUUACUAAAAAAAAAUCCAAUUGUCUACUCCUAUCAAAUGGCAUUUACUUUUCAUCUUUGUAAUUUCCUCCACAAGAAUUUCACAGUUCAGGGGGCAUUGGAUAACAUAAAGAACUGACUAUUUCAUUUUUACUCAAAAUUAAAUAUUUAAUAGAUUGCCAAAAGCAAAUCCCUAUUUAUGUUUUCUUAUUAUUUUUCUCUUCAAAAUAUUUAUUAUGGAUUUUAAGUGACAGAUUUCAUUCUUGGAAAAUGAUUAUAUCAAUUUAAUUAGAUUGUCACCUCAGGGUCCAUUCUUUUAUAUUUAGGAAGUUUGGAACAGAAAAGAUCCUGAAAACAGAAAACAAUUGCAACUAGGCACCUGGAAGUGUGCCUAUCUAUAAUUUCAUAAAAUAUGCUCAUAAUUAUUUCUCUUUUAUUUACUCUUAGAACUUUUACUUAGCAAUUACACAUUAAAGAAACAAUUGAAACUCCCUCUGUGGCCAGCUCUAAUUUUUUCCCCUCUCUUACUCUCCCAAAGUGUACAGCUUUCCCAAACAUGUUUUUACUUUAUAAAUACAUACAAAGGUAUUUAUAAAUAACAGAUAUUCUUAUUUUGUGUGUGGCUUUUUAAAAACCAUAUAAAUUGUGUCGUACCAGGAUAUUGUUCUGUUACUUAGAUUUUUUACCCAAAUUAUGUUUGUGAGAUGUAUCCACGUUGUGAAUACGGGUAAAGUUUAUUCUUUUCAACUUCUAAAUAGAGGGGACAGACACUGCCAGCUGCCUAACCAAUACUAUGACCCCCACCUUUUUUUUUUUACUAAGAGAAACAUAAUAUUUUUCAAUGCAAUCAUGAGCCCUGAAAAAUUAGACAAUACUUUCCAAGCUUCUUGCAGCUAGACUUAGCUCUCUGGCACAGUCCUAGCUAAUGAGAUGUAAGCAAAGUCGGCUUGGGUUUGCUCAGGAGAGUUCCUGAUGGCUCAGCUACCUCCACCACAUUUCUUUCCUCUUUACUACUUCCUGCCUAGAAUGCGGAUGUACUUCAUGGUGGAAGUGCAGCCAUUUUGUAACCGUUAAGAGAAAGAGCUGCCUGCUAGAUAGGAGAUAGUGAGAUGUAAAGAAGUUUGGGUUCUUGAUGACUUUGUAAAGCUUUCCUAACAAGCAGCCCUGCCUCUAGACUUCAUACCAAAUGAGAAAAGCAGAAUUCACACUUUGUUUAAGCCACAACCAGAUUGCAAUCAACACUGUUGCACAAUGAACUUCUCUGCACACAUCCUGGAAGAACCAGAAUCCUAGGAGCAUGGAAGACUUAAUUCAUUCAACAGUAACCACCUCUUUUUAGCCUAAGACUUUGGCAGCCGAACAACAGAACAGGAAUUAUGUCAGCUUUUCUGCUUAGCAUGAGCUCUGCCCCAGAACCAAUGACAUAAAAUACGUAUGUUUGCUUUCCCUGCCACAAAGUUGCGACACAUUAUCAAAGCUUUACAAAGUCACUCUAUCUUAGGACACCCCUAGACAACUUGUUUCCAUCUUACUUCUGGGACAAAAAUAUUUACUGUAUCCUGCUUUCAUUGUCUUUGUGAAUAUUACAUUAAAUGUUGACAUGUGCUUGGCAAUUCAAAUUCAUUGGUUAAAUGUUUUUCUCCUCUCAAAAUUAUUUUUAAUAUAAUAGUCUAAUAAAUAUGAAUCCAAGAUUCCUUACUAAACAUGUGACUUUGCCUUGUCCAACCUCAGUAUUUUGUUCUAUAAAACGCAAGUAACUAGGCAACUC